rnacentral:pre_miRNA from 1 species
AAUGUUAAGCUUUAGCUGGUUGAACCCGGGUCAAAUAGUAACCAAGGUUAAAAGCAUUUGGUCCCCUUCAACCAGCUGUAGUUGGCAUGACUU